UAAAAAUGAUGCAGGAUCGACUAUGUCGAAUAAAAUUCUAGGUAGAAUUUUGAUAAUGACAUUGUCUGCCUAUGUGUCUUGACCAAAUUACGUGCCAGCAGUCGCGGUAAUACGUAGAAGACUAGUGUUAUUCAUGUUUAAUCGGUUUAAAGGGUACCUAGACGGUAAAUCAAGCCUAAAAUUAAGUGAAGGGACUAAUUUACUAGAGUUACUUAUGAGGGGGUAUUAAAGUACUGCUGGUGUAGAGAUGAAAUUCUGUCAUACCUCUUUUCAAUAGAAAAAUAACGGCACAGGUAUAGGCGAAAGCAUCCCCUUAUGUGAUAACUGACGUUGAGGGACGAAGGCUUUGUGUAGCGAACAGGAUUAGAUACCCCAGUAGUCAAAGCAGAAAAUGAUGAAUGUCAUAGAUUAGAUAUAUAAGUUUAUUCUAUAAAUGAAAGUGUAAGCAUUCCACCUCAAGAGUAAUUUGGCAACAUUGGAACUGAAAUCAUUAGACCGUUUCUGAAACCAGUAGUGAAGUAUGUUGUUUAAUUUGAUGAUCCGCAAAAAACCUUACCACAAUUUGAAUAUUUAUAUCUUUUAUUGUUUUUUUUUAUUUUUCUUCUGAUUUUCAUUGUAUGAUUUUCUUCUUAUUCUAUUUGCAUGUGCAUGUGCAUGCACAUGCACRUGCAAAAGAACGAAAUUGAGCUAAUCCCCCA
rnacentral:rRNA from 1 species